rnacentral:lncRNA from 1 species
AGCCCCCAACAAACCCCUUGACCUCCAUUUUGCCCCCAAAGAUGAGGGCAAGAUGAGCAUCAGGGGAAUAUUCAGGCUGCUGAAAUACAGCGGCCCCAGAGCCACCUUAUAGUACCCCCCUGAACAAUGCAGGAACAGACCUAUCCCUGCCCACAGCCUCAUAUGGGGUUACAGUGCUCACAGGGUUAUGGGACAUGUGGAGCCUUGUGGUCACGCGGACUUUUCUGGGGUUCUGGGCUCAUGUGGGGUUACUGAUCAGGGCUUCAACAUUAGAUCGAAAUGAACCCCAAUCCCCUCUCAGGAAGAAAUCAAUGAAUGCACUCCAACACCACUCCACAUCCCCCAUUCUGACCCCAAACCGCUCCCCACGAGCCCCCAAGCCCCCCACGUACCCAUGCCACGUCAUGUCUCUGCACCCACAAGUCCCACCUGUACCUCACACCUCGCCUUCUCCUGUGAAGCACUCUGCUCCUGCAGGCUGUGGUCCAUAUCCCCUUAUCCUCCCCAAAUCCACCCAUGUUCUGAUCCGUGUUCCCCAGUAUCCCCAGUGCCGCCCACUUCACUUGCACCCACAUCUGUGCCCUACACCUUCUCCAGCUCCUCAUUCCUCACCUGCAGAAGCCAUCCAUGUCACAGCACUGUGAGGUUCUACAGGAUCUGGAGGCAGGUCGGGGGGAAAAGAGGCCAAAGAUGGGCUAUGGGGUUCCUGGGAUGGUGAUGGGGUCCUGUCAGGGACCGUGGGGAUCAGUGAGUUCCCAGGGGGGAUCUUGGAGGUGUAAAGGAGGUCUGAGGGAGGAAAUAGAAGGAUUCCGUGGAAGCCCAGUGGGGGACAUGGGGUGCUGCUGGGGACUGUGGGGCUCCAUGUGGCUAUGGGCCAGCUAUGGGGGAGGUGUACUGCGUCUGAGGGGGUCCUUGAGGGGCUCCAGGGCUCUGUGGGGGGCUACAGGGUGUCUCUAGGGGUCUUGCUGGGAAACACUGGGAGGGAUAUAUGGGCUCUGAGGGAAUGAUGGGUGGGCUGUCAUGAGAAAGGAAAGGGCAGCCUUGUGGAAAGCAAGGGGACAGCUGGGGGAAGAACAGGGGAACGUCCCAGCAACGGACUUCUUCUUUCACAUCCACAUCUUCUGCUUCCCUACUGAGCUGCAAAGCUGCCAGAGGAGCUGCAGUACCGCUGCCCGACUCCUGCCUGUGUCAGAAAGAGCUGCACGUGAGCAGAGUGCAAUUGCCAUUCUAAAGCCAACUCCAUCACUGCAGUCACAACACCACAACCUUCAGUAUCUGCUACAGGCAGACGACCAUGCCCUUGCACAGGAACCAUUCCUACAGAGCAAGGGAAGUCCUUCACUGCCUUAGGUCGUGAGGAACACAGGAAGGGCCCCAAAGCCUUCAGCACAUGACAUGGAGCCACCAAAGUUGGCAGCUAAACACACC